AGAUUAAGCCAUGCAUGCGUAAGUGAAUACAAGCUACUGUGAAAACCGCGAAUGGCUUAUUAUAUCAGUUGUAGUUUAUUGAGCAAAACGUUUACAGGACAACUGUGGAAAACCUAGAGCUAAUACAUGCGUUUUGUCCUGACGUUCGCAAGGAUGCAAAAAUCAGAUCAAAGCCAACGUUUCCUUCGGGAUCCAAAGCGUGAUGACUCUGGGUAGACUUUCUGAUUGCACUGGCUUCGACCAGGCGACGGCGACUCCAAACAUCUGACCUAUCAACUUUUGAUGGUAGUUGAUUUUACUACCCUGGUUGCCACGGGUAACGGGGAAUCGGGGUUCGAUUCCGGAGAGAGAGCAUGAGAAAUGGCUGUCACACCCAAGGGUGGCAGCAGGCGCGCAAAUUACCCAAUCCCCGAUCGGGGAGGUAGUGACGAGAAAUAUCGAUGCCGCGAUAAAAAAUCCGGCAGUUGAAAUGAGGACAAUGAAGGGAUUUUAUCGAGAAUCUAUUGGAGGGCAAGUUCUGGUGCCAGCAGCCGCGGUAAUUCCAGCUCGUUGAGCGUAUGUUAAAGUUGCUGCGGUUUUUUCGCUCGUCGUUGGACAUCAGGAAAUGGGCCGUAGACAACCAAGUGUUGGUACUACGGUUUCGUUCCUAAUUAAACGCUUGUUGACUGAUGAUGCACUUAACUGUGUGUCACUUUAGAGGGGGACUGUCACUUUGAGAAAUUCAGUGUGCUCAACGCAGGCUUUGUGCAAGAAUAAUGCUGCAUAGGAUGACGGAAAAAGGCUUCGGCUCCGUUUCGUUGGUUUUCGAAAGCAGAGGUCAUGAUUAAUCGGGACAGACGGGGGCAUUCGUAUUGCGGUGCUAGAAGUGAAAUUGGGUGACCAUCGCAAGACGAACAACUGCGAAAGCAUUUGCCAAGAAUGUUUUCAUUAGUCAAGAACGAAAGUUAGAGGAUCGAAGACGAUUAGAUACCGUCCUAGUUCUAACUGUAAACUGUGGGAGCUGGGCAUUCGCCAACGCCUUAUCUUGGCGAGCACUCUCCGGGAAACCAAAGUGAUCGGGUUCCGGGGAGAGUAUGGUUGCAAAAUCGAAACUUUUUGGAAUUGACGGAGGGGCACACCA
rnacentral:rRNA from 1 species